UCAGUGUCGCAGCGAAAGCGAUAAACACACCGCCUGGGGAGUACGACCGCAAGGUUAAAACUCAAAUGAAUUGACGGGGACCCGCACAAGUAGUGGAGCAUGUGGUUUAAUUCGAAGAUACGCGCAGAACCUUACCAACACUUGACAUGUUCGUCGCGACUUUAAGAGAUUAAAGUUUUCGGUUCGGCCGGACGAAACACAGGUGCUGCAUGGCUGUCGUCAGCUCGUGUCGUGAGAUGUUGGGUUAAGUCCCGCAACGAGCGCAACCCUCACUUUUAGUUGCCAUCAUUAAGUUGGGCACUCUGAAAGAACUGCCAGUGAUAAGCUGGAGGAAGGUGGGGAUAACGUCAAGUCCUCAUGGCCCUUACGUGUUGGGCUACACACGUGCUACCAUGGUAUUUACAAAAGGAAGCAAAACGGCGACGUUUAGCAAAUCCUGAAAAGAUACCUCAGUUCGGAUUGCACUCUGCAACUCGAGUGCAUGAAGCUGGAAUUACUAGUAAUCGUGGAUCAGCGUGCCACGGUGAAUGCGUUCCCGGGUCUU
rnacentral:rRNA from 1 species